AAUUUUGUACAAUGGGGGAAACCCUGAUCCAGCCAUCCCGCGUGUAUGAUGAAGGCCUNCGGGUUNUNAAGAACUUUUGGCAGAGNCAAAAAGGUAUCUCCUAAUACGAGAUACUGCUGACGGUAUCUGCAGAAUAAGCACCGGCUAACUACGUGCCAGCAGCCGCGGUAAUCCGUAGGGUGCAAGCGUUAAUCGGAAUUACUGGGCGUAAAGCGUGCGCAGUCGGUUCGGAAAGAAAGCUGUGAAAUCCCUGGGCUUAAACUUGGAACUGCAUUUUUAACUGCCGAGCUAGAGUAUGUCAGAGGGGGGUAGAAUUCCACGUGUAGCAGUGAAAUGCGUAGAUAUGUGGAGGAAUACCGAUGGCGAAGGCAGCCCCCUGGGAUAAUACUGACGCUCAGACACGAAAGCGUGGGGAGCAAACAGG
rnacentral:rRNA from 1 species